rnacentral:rRNA from 1 species
UACGUAGGGUGCAAGCGUUGUCCGGAAUUAUUGGGCGUAAAGAGCUCGUAGGCGGUCUGUCACGUCGGCUGUGAAAUCCCGAGGCUCAACCUCGGGUCUGCAGUCGAUACGGGCAAACUAGAGUAUUGCAGGGGAGACUGGAAUUCCUGGUGUAGCGGUGAAAUGCGCAGAUAUCGGGAAGAACACCCGUGGCGAAGGCGGCACUCUGGGACGGUACUGACGCUGAGACGCGAAAGCGUGGGGAGCGAACAGG